CUUCUCUCUCUGCCCCCUAUCGUUCUCUCUCUGGCUCGGACGGACUCCGUCCACUUCUCUCGUUUUGUUCUCUCCGGUCUCUCUCUCUCUCUCUCUCUCUCUCUCUCCCACCAAGCCCGUCAGAGUUUGUCAGAGGUGCUAAUUAUUCCCCACUAUCUGUUUUGUAACAGAAUACCAGUUAACAGAAUCUCCCCCCUACCCGCCGCCGCCUCCGCUAUCUCAGAGCCGCCCUCAUUUUCGUUUGAAUCUGAAUCCUCCUCUUCCAUUGCUCCGUCGCCCCAACCGUCACAACCUCUGCCGUCUCACCCGCUCUCAAUUAUCAUCAGAUUAAUGAGCUCAGAUUUUCAGAAUUGGUUUGAAUUGCGGAAGGCCCCGAUUGUUUGGGUUUGCAAUUGCCGCUGAGCUUGUGCAUUUUAUGCCUCUGUGAGUUUCUGAGCUGAUGCAGUUGUUCGUGUUGUAUCUGGAUGCAAGCGGAGGCGGCUACGGUUGGGAAGGUUAGGCACAGAAGAUUGGUGAGGGAAAUGAGAGGCUGUUGGUGGCACAAUGCAUGCCUAAUCAUACUCUCUCUAAGUACCUCUUUCCCUGUAUGUUUCUAUCUCUCUUGAUACCUAUAAAAACUUGAAUCUUGCUAAUUUCCUCCAGAAGCCUCAUGUCGUUGCAACAUAUUGUAUAAUGUAGUUUUGCUUUAAUCAUUCUUCUAGUUGUAACUUGUAACUUGUAACUUAAUGCAAAUGCUUGGGGAAGUGAAGUGAUCACCAAUCGUGAGUCAGCAUGUUCACCUGUGUCCAAGGACUCUCACUAGGCAUUUAGCUGCAAACACAAUCAUUUUACUGGUAUGAAUUCUGCGUAACUUACAUGGUCUUUAAUUCUGUCCUAGUUUUUGUAAGGAUUCUGGAUAUGGGUUUUGUUUUCAGUAAUCUGGCAUCAAUUAGAUGGGUUUUUGAGCAAUAAUGGAUUAAUUUGGUCUUUUCUGGUUUUUGUGUUUAGUGUAUCUUUGGGAUAUCUGUGAUGUAGUUUGUUGUUAGUACCAAAAUAAAAUUUAGUGGAUUUCAAGGGUAGUUUAAACAAAACAAAUGUGCAGUUGUCAUGAUCAUUCUUAAUGGUGUUGUCAGUUGUCUGCAAAUUUUCCCUGUACAUAUCAUCUGUUUUCCUAUAAUCUGAUUGGAGUUAAUAUAAACUUAUUAUUGUGGAAAAUUAGUUUCUGUAUGAAUUUUGGACUCUGUCAUUGCAUGCUUAGAACAGUAGAGAUUGCCAAAGAAAGAUUAGUCUUUGAAAAUGAAAUCUGCAUCCAAAGACAAUUAAGACCACCUUGGAAAAACCAAGUAUGGGUGCUAUCACUCUAUUUCCCUAUAUCCCUGCUGAAGUGGGUUUGGGUUCAAUCUUUGGAAGGGCAUCCUUGAGUUUAAGGACUUGUUAACGAAUGGAUUAGUCGAACGACAUAAUCUUGGCAUGUAACUAAUGAGUUUUCCCUGUGCAUAUCAAUUAAUCAUUUGUCUUCCUUACAGAUAAAGGGUUUGUUUUGGGGAGGGUGAUGGCAAUGCUGCUACCGUCAACUAGAAAUUGUUGAAUCUACAAAUGUUGGCCCCUUUCAUUUCAGUAAAAGACUUGAUACAAAAGUUCUUGUAAUGUUUCAUAACUUCAUUCUUUUUCCUCUCAAGCGUUUCAUAACUGCAGAUUUUGAUGUUGCAUCAAAGUUUUAUCUCUCUCUUCUCCUUUAUUGGUUUUGAUAGACAAUGAUGUGCUAGGGUAGUGUGUUUGAAGGUUCCUUAGGUUUGAAUCCUUGGUUUCCUUACAAGUCCUGAAAACCAAAAGAGAUAUUUGAAUCUUGCUAAUUUCCUCUAGUAGCCUCAUAUUGUUGCAACAUAUUGUAUAAUGUAGUUUUGCUUUAGUCAUUCUUCUAGUUGUAACUUGUAACUUAAUGCAAAUGCUUGGGGAAGUGAAGUGAUCACCAAUCGUGAGUCAGCAUGUUCAUCUGUGUCCAAGGACUCUCACUAGGCAUUUAGCUGUAAAUACAAUCUUUUUUCUGGAAUGAAUUCUGCUUAACUUAGGCCCUCUCACGUAUAUAUUUCUCAUUUAAUCCGAUAUUAGAAAAUAGUUACCACGUAACCAAGUAGUAGUAGCACUACCACAAUGCCCUCAGACCCUCUCAUGUAUAUAUUUCUCAUUUAAUCUGAUAUUAGAAAAUAGUUACAAAAAAAAAGGAGAACUAGGAAGAGGAAAGAAAGAGUUAGGGUUUCCAAUCCAAACAUUCUCCUUCCCAAAAUGGAUCAAGCAAUCAAGAUGGGUAUGAAAUAUUAUUUUCUUGCUCCGUUUUUAUAAUUAAGAUCCCUAACUCUAUAUAUAAUGUAUAUUUAAUUAGCAUUUUGAUUACAAGAUUCGAUAAUUAAUUAGCAUAUCAUUAAUUAUCUGAUAAUUACUUUUCAAUUUGUCUAGUCGCACUAAGAAAUCAGUUGACCUCAUCUAAUUGCUAUGCAAUUAAGGUAUUUUCGCUAAAUUCUCUAGAUCCAUGUCAUGCAAUUUCCUUUCCUAAUAUGUUAAUUAAUGAUUAUAGUUCUACCUCUUAAUUUCUUGCUUAAUUUUAUCUCUUAACAACAACAUUAUCUCUUAAUUUUAAGAACAACAAGGAAAUAAUUGGGUUGACCUAAUUUCUUGCUUAAUUUUAUCUCUUAAUUUUAAUUUUAUUAAUUAGUAGUAACAUAGAGACGAGCGAAAUCACUAUAAUUCCUAAUAAUAAUAAUAAUAAUUAAUAAAAUUAAAAUUAAGAGAUAAAAUUAAGCAAGAAAUUAAGAGGUAGAACUAUAAUCAAUAAUUAACAUAUUAAGAAAGGAAAUUGCAUGCCAUGGAUCUAGGGAAUUUAGCAAAACAUACUUUAAUUACAUAGCAAUUAGAUGAGGUCAACUGAUUUCUUAGUGCGAUUAGACAAAUUGAAGAGUAAUUAUCAGAUAAUUAAUGAUAUGCUAAUUAAUUAUCGGAUCUUGUAAUCAAAAUGCUAAUUAAAUAUACAUUAUAUAUAUAGAGUUAGGGAUCUUAAUUAUAAAAACGGAGAAAGAAAAUAAUAUUUCGUACCCAUCUUGAUUGAUUGAUCCAUUUUGGAACGACAAUGUUUGGAUUGGAAACCCUAACUCUUUCUUUCCUUUUCCUUCUCCUCUUUUUUGGUAAUUAUUUUCUAAUAUCGGAUUAAAUGAGAAAUAUAUGCGUGAGAGGGUCUGAGGGCAUUUUAUCAUAAAUUUAACAAGGAAAUAAUCGUGUGGACCUAAUUUUAUCUCUUAAUUUUAAUUUUAUUAGAUAUUAUUAUUAGGAAUUAUAGUGAUUUCACUAAUCUCUAUGUUAUUUCCCUCUAGCAUUAUAUUUGCUAAUUUUCUGAUUAGAUGCAUGCAUAAUCACAGAAACCCAAUUAGGCCGCCAUUCCUUAUUUCAUCAUCCUUUUUAUGCCCAUUCAUUAAUUCUUGACAUCAUGUACUUAAUUCCUUCAUUCCUGUAUCUGCUCUUGACACCCGAGCAAAGCAUAAGAAGUUUGCCAAUAAGUUUCAAGAAAUAUACUGCCCGAUGUGUAACAAGAAAUUUCACACCAAGAGUGGCUUCCUCAUACACCAAACAUCUCACAAGAAAUACUACAAAGCGUGGGAAAGCCUGCCCUCAAGCCACCUCUUGCUUCUUGUGAUCAUGACGACUCUGAUGAAGCUGCUGCUGAAGCUACUGUUGGUCAUGAUGGUUAAGAAGGGGAACAAGUGGAUGGCUAGUUCUUGUGUUUCCUUCUGAAGAAUGCAUGGUAUCUCACACUACUGGGUUUGCUGCAAUUCAUCUUUGAACAAAUAACUAGCUUUCCUUACACUCACUCUACAUAUUGGUGUGGUGGUCUCUUGGUUUUGGAGAACCCUAUAUAAAGUUGAUCUCACUAGUUAAUUUCCAGUUGAUCUCACUAGUUAAUGUGUAUGUCACUAGUUGGUCUCUUGGUUUGGGAUAUUCGUUUUAUAAAUUUUUUCGUAUGAAUGUUGUGUUUGCAUUUUUGAAACAUAGUCAAUUGAGUGAUUUAGCCUUCA